CGGGCUGUGGUAUAGUGGUAUUACGCACGCUUCGGGUGCGUGUAAUCCGGGUUCGAUUCCCGGCAGCCCGA
rnacentral:tRNA from 2 species